rnacentral:rRNA from 1 species
AUGGGAACGCGAAGAACCUUACCUAGACUUGACAUCUCCUGAAUAGUGUAGAGAUACAUGAAGCCCUUCGGGGCAGGAAGACAGGUGGUGCAUGGUUGUCGUCAGCUCGUGUCGUGAGAUGUUGGGUUAAGUCCCGCAACGAGCGCAACCCUUAUUACUAGUUGCUACCAUUAAGUUGAGCACUCUAGUGAGACUGCCCGGGGUUAACCGGGAGGAAGGCGGGGAUGACGUCAAAUCAUCAUGCCCCUUAUGUCUAGGGCAACACACGUGCUACAAUGGUGAGUACAGAUAGAUGCGAUACCGCAAGGUGGAGCCAAACUCUAAAACUCAUCCCAGUUCGGAUUGUAGGCUGCAACUCGCCUACAUGAAGUCGGAGUUGCUAGUAAUCGCGAAUCAGCAUGUCGCGGUGAAUACGUUCCCGGGUCUUGUACACACCG